UUAGUAAAUCGAUCUGAUGCCACUGGGGCUCCGUCUCUCGCCCUGUCGCCAUUGCGCCAAAGUGAACAGAUUCCUCUCCAAGGCAUAGAUCUCUGCUCGAAGGAGCUGGACGAAGAGAAAAAAGCCCAGGCCCAAGAGGGAGGAGGAGGAGGGAGACGAGAAAGUGGCGCUCUGGGGGCGGGAGGAGGCGUGGAGAUGCUCGGCAACCGCCGCUAAGCUGACCCGCCCGAGGGCCAAGGAGCAACUCGACCCGGCAGAUGCUUGCCUAACACCUGUUUGCAAAACCCCUGGAGAUCAGGAUUGUACCACCACCCUUAAAAACUUAACCCAGCCAACCUGCCAGAAACCCACCAAGCACAGAAGAGACCCAGUCACCUAACAAAUACAUGUUGGUAG